rnacentral:rRNA from 1 species
AACGAACGCUGGCGGCAUGCCUAACACAUGCAAGUCGAACGAGAUCUUCGGGUCUAGUGGCGCACGGGUGCGUAACGCGUGGGAAUCUGCCCUUUGGUUCGGAAUAACAGUUGGAAACGACUGCUAAUACCGGAUGAUGACGAAAGUCCAAAGAUUUAUCGCCAGAGGAUGAGCCCGCGUAGGAUUAGCUAGUUGGGGUGGUAAAGGCGCACCAAGGCGGCGAUCCUUAGCUGGUCUGAGAGGAUGAUCAGCCACACUGGGACUGAGACACGGCCCAGACUCCUACGGGAGGCAGCAGUGGGGAAUAUUGGACAAUGGGCGAAAGCCUGAUCCAGCAAUGCCGCGUGAGUGAUGAAGGCCUUAGGGUUGUAAAGCUCUUUUACCCGGGAUGAUAAUGACAGUACCGGGAGAAUAAGCUCCGGCUAACUCCGUGUCAGCAGCCGCCGUAA